ensembl:lncRNA
GUGCACGUACAUGCUUGACUCUCAUGCAUGCUUCCGGAAGGGUGUUUAUUAAUUCAGGAGUGCCUACUAUGUGCUAGGCGCCACGCCAGGUGGAGGGAAUUCAGCAGUGACAGAGACAGGCAAAGCCUCUGCUGCUCGGAGCUGACAUUCAGAAGGGGAGAUGCCUGAGGAAAAGCAAAUGAAUCCAUUAUACAUUGUAUCCAAAGGUGCUAAGUGCUGGAAGAAAAAAUAAAUCAGGAAAGGAAGACAGUGUGUACCACUGGGGUGGGGAGGCCCCAGGCAGGAAGCUGACAUGUGAGCAACCACCCAACAGAGGUGAGGGAGGGAACCAUGUGGUAUCUGGGCAGAAACGGAACGGGCAGAAGGUGCAGCCUGUGCAAAGGCCCUGGGGUGGGAACACGCCUGGCGUAUUCAAGGACAAGAAGGAGGCCAGUAUAAGGAGAAGGAAUGGGGGGGGCAGUACGGGCAGGGACGUGGUGGGAGCCUGGAGCGGCUGCAGGAACAGGAGAUCGAUACCAGGAGUUGCCUCGGGCGGCGGUGGUGGGGCUGGGAGCUGGGGCUGCGGUGGGGGCGACUACUUUAACCAUGUCCCAUGUGAACUGUGUAAAGAUGCAUAACGAAAGCUCUUUCUUUUUUUUAAGCGUGGACAUCUGGUUUUGGACGUCCCUGCGUGCGCUUCUGGGUUUUUUCCUGAGAUUCAAGGAGGUCUCCUUUCCGGCAUCUUUGCGCCACAUUUGCUGUUUCUCAGCCUCCCGGAGAAUGUCAGGAAUUAGCCCCUGGGUGGCCUGACCUCCCAGCUGGGCCUGGGAAGCCGAGAACAGACCCUGCCUUCCCAGGGCGGCGGCCGUGCCCGGCUGUCGGGAUGCGGGAGGAGUCCGCACGCAGGGGCUGCGGCCCCCGGCCCUCGGAGCGGCCCUGGCCUGCGUGGCCCGUGACGGCCCAGAGCUCAGGCCUCUGGUCAAGCACAGAUCAGAACCCAGAGGCCUGUCCGCCGCCGGCGAGGCCUGUGGUCUUGGAGUCGAGCACGUGGGUCCCUCCUGGGUCCCCUCUGGCUUCUGCCCGACGGAGCCAAUAAUAAUUCUCACUCUAAAAAUGUCCAAGUGGCAGGUUCGCCUGACUCCGAGGGGCCCUCCAGGCCUUUUAGUGCCCUUGUUGACGGCCCCACACUGUGUGCACACGGCCCCAAAAUCCCGGGGGAGGCCCCAGGUAGCAGGGAAAGCAAGUUGAAAUGGAAAGAAUCCACAGUUUUGAACCAGAUCUGGAUUCUGACACCUCAUUCAGUCACUCAACAAACGUGUCUCAGGCUGGCCCUGGGACCCAGCAGUGAAUGGGACGUGCGUGGAGCCGGGAGUCCAGGGUGUGGAGAGAGGGCCCGGCCGUCCGUCCGGGCGCCCUGCAGCAGGGUCAGGCUGUGGAACUGGCCUCUGGGGGCAGUGCCUCAUUCAGAGGGCAGAGGCCACUUAAUGCCCUGCGUGGAGCCCCUUCCCUUCCGGGCGGGACUUGGGGAGUCAGAAAACAGACAAGUGAAGAAAGAAUAUGGUGAAAAUGUUGGUUUUUGCCACAAAGGUAGCAACCUGGGCACCGAGAGAGCGAGAGAGCUGGAGGGAGGGGAGAGAGACAGGUCUGAGACGGGGUGACCAGGGAGGGAGGGCUUCCCGAAGGAGGUGACACUGAAGAUGGCGUCCAAAGGUUGAGAAGGAGGAGCCAGAAGGUGCGGGAACAGCAGUCUGGGGGAAGGAAGAGCAGACACAAAGCCCAGGCCGUGGGAAGUGACUUGGUACGUUCAGAGAAUGGACAACAGGCCAGCAUGGCUGGGGUGUUAGGAUGGGCAACUCGCUUCACCUCCCUGAGCCUCAGUUUCCCUCGUCUGUAAAAUGGGCCACACUCCCUGCCUGGCCAACAUCACCGGUGCUUCUGGGAAUCCAGUGAGUUGACACAGUCCAAGACCCUCCACAGGCCUCAAGAGCUGGGGCCUUCCGCAUCUCACAGAGCGCUCUCCAAGAGCCCUUUAAGACGGGCCGCGGGCUCGGGAGCCUCUCCCAAGGUCACUGAUCUAGAUGGGCUGUGUGGCAGGAUGGUUAGGUACACAUACCAUGGAACCAGACGGCCGGCUGUGUGGCCUUGGGCAAGUUAUUCAACCUCUCUGAGCCUGUUUCGUAAUCUGCACAAUGGGGAACAGACCCUCUCUUGUAGGAUUACUGUGAAAAUCAUGAAUUAAUGUGCGUAAAGCAGGCACUGCCAGGCACGUAGUAAGCGCUUUAUAAGCGUAAGCUACUUUUCGUUCUCGCUGAGGCGCCCGGUAACCUGAUAAAACUGGAACUACUACCGUCCCCACCACACACAUGAGGAAACCAAGGUUCGGGAGGCACCACCAGCCCAGGCCAUCACCUGGGAAGCGAGACACCUUUGAGCCCAGCUCCAUCUGGCUCCGGAGCCUUCUCUGCACCAUCCCGGAGGUCCAGAUGGGUCACUGUUGUCGCUGUCAUUUCCACUGCUCAGAAGAGGCCUUCAGGCCAGCGAUGGAGUAAGCAGCCACAGGCGACACAGGGUUGAUGUCCCUGUACCCAAAAAUAUGGCUCCCUGGCCCCCCUGUGGAAUGUGGUCGGUUUGAAUUGUCAAUGUCAUCGCACCUGCCAUCCCAGGAUGCUCCAUUUCGCUAGACUAUGUUGCCGGGACCAGAAAAGCAAGACGGAUGCAGCAGGGAAGGGGAAGGGCCUGGGUGGCUUCCUCAAACACAUCUGCAGUGCUGCCUCAGGGCCCUUGCACUGACUGUUCCUUCCACUUGAAAUGCUUUUCCCCAGAUGGCCCUACCUUGCUCUCUGGCCUUCCCUGUCCUUGAUGAAAUGUCGUCUGCCCGCUCUGAAAGGAGCCCCUCUCGAAGCUCCAGUCCUCGGCUCCUGCUCUUUCUCCUGGAACUCACCACCUGGUGUCCUAAGCCAACCCCCCCACCCAGGGGGGAGGCCCCACAGGGAGAGGUGACGUGUGGGGACACGGGCGGCAGCCGAGGAGGACCCGCCCCCAGAGGUCCCUAGGCUUGGCUGGGCCCAUCCCCCGCCAGCUGGGAGCAGCGCCCGGCGGGCUGGGCGUGGGGACAAGCCCGGGCCAGGUGAGGGGCGGGGCGUGCGCACCUGUGAGGCAGUUCCCGGCUGGAGGGGAAAUUUCGGUUCGCGCUCCUGGGCCUCCUUUGAAGCUAUUUAUGGAACGGGACACGCCGGAGCCCCUUGGCCUCCACUCUCAAGGCUCUUGGAGUCCAAGCCGCGGUUUCUCCCCAAAUUAAGAUGGAAAGCUGCUCAAGAGGACUGCAUCUCAAGACCCCGUCCCAGAAGCUGGUGGGGAAGGACCGGGCGAGCCCUCUGCCCAGGACAGCCAUGUGAGAGGUGCUCCUAAGAGUGGGGCGCUGGCUGAGCGUUAGGCACACGGGACCUGUCCCCCCUCCUACCUUGAUCAGCCACAUGGCAGGUGAAGAAACCGAGGCUCAGAGAAACACAGCAACUCGGCCCAGCGCGCCCAGCACAGAAGCCAGCGGCAGGUGCAGCCCGCACAACGUGCCAAACCCCCCAUUGGCCAGAAUUGGGUCACGUGCCCAUCGGCUCACUUCAGACCAAUCAGGGCCUUCCCUGGAGCGGGGGGCGGGCCCAGCCGCCCGUGGGGCUCACAGCUGGUGGAGCGGUGGGAACCCCAACAAAAUCGGGGUCCCUCCGGCAGGGUGGGAACCCGCAAUGUCCCCUCCAGCGGUCUCUUCGGACGUGUCAUCCGCGGGUGAGGCGCUCUUCAGUGGGGAGCUUUUUAAUAGGUUUUAGACGGACCUUUUUAAGAGUGAUUACUUUUUAUAAUAGUUGUUAUAACCUUUUAUUUGUGGCAAGUGAUCCCGAUUUUCCUUUUAUGAUAGCUGUGCAAUUUCCUUUUAAAAAUAAGUUUAGAUCCCAUCUUUCUGAACUUUGAAAUAGUUACACGAGAAAAUAAAAUUUAAAAAGUUCAGGCAAAUUCUCAUAUACUUUCCAGCCACUUUGGAAAAUGCUACCUACCGUGUCUGAACCCGUGCCCACGUUGUGACCCCACGAUGUGUCCCGCGUCCGUGUGUUCAUCAAAACACGUGCACAAGGGUGUCCGCACAAGUUUAUUCACUACAGCCCGGAGGAAAAACCGCCCCAAUGCCCGUCCACCCAGAGUGAAUAGAGAAAUUUUGUAUAUUUACCCCACGGAAGACUAGAGCACAGCUACCCAUAGCACGGCUGAAACCAGACACGAAAGGGUCCAGACGGUACGACUCUAGUGACUUAAAACCCCAAGUCAGGCAAAAUUAACAUGCGGUCAGAAGUAGGGUAGUGGUCACCUUUGGGGGUAGUGAUUGGAAAAGAGGUCCAGGAGCGGGGCGCCCUGGGGGGGCUGGGAAUGUCCUGUUUCUCUUUUUUUAAAGGUUGGCCCUAAGCUCACAUCUGUUGCCAAUCUCGUGGGUUUUUUUCUUCUCCCCAAAGCCCCCCAGUACAUAGUUGCAUAUUUUUAGUUGUGGGUCCUUCUAGUUGUGGCAUGUGGGAUGCCGCCUCAGCGUGGCCUGAUGAGCAGUGCCGUGUCUGCACCCAGGAUCCAAACUAGCGAAACCCUGGGCCGCCAAAGCGGAGCACGCGAACUCAACUACUCGGCCAUGGGGCCGGCCCUGCCAUAUUUCUUGAAGUCGGUGCUGGUUAUUCCGUGUUCAUUUUAUGAAAAUUCUUUAAGUUGUGC